rnacentral:rRNA from 1 species
ACUCAAAUGAAUUGACGGGGGCUCACACAAGCGGUGGAGGAUGUGGUUUAAUUCGAAGCAACGCGCAGAACCUUACCAGGUCUUGACAUACCGGGAUUAGUUUGGUGAAAGCCAGAUGAUUGCCCUCAAGGUGUAACCGGAACAGGUGCUGCAUGGCUGUCGUCAGCUCGUGCCGUGAGGUGUUAGGUUAAGUCCUUUAACGAGCGAAACCCCUACGGUCAGUUACCAGCGCGUCAUGGCGGGGACUCUGGCCGGACUGCCGCGCAAGUAGGAGGAAGGUGGGGACGACGUCAAGUCAUCAUGGCCUUUAUGACCUGGGCCACACACGUCCUACAAUGGAUGGUACAGAGGGUUGCGAAGCCGCGAGGUGAAGCCAAUCCCAGAAAACCAUCCUCAGUUCAGAUUGUGGGCUGCAAUUCGCCCACAUGAAGCUGGAAUCGCUAGUAAUCGCGGAUCAGCUACGCCGCGGUGAAUAUGUUCCUGAGCCUUGUACACACCGCCCGU